rnacentral:lncRNA from 1 species
AUUGUGUUUUGGUAGUGUGUAUUGUGUUUUGCACUUAUGGGCCACCGUAACAUACCGUGCGAGUGAAACACCGCUUGCUGAAGGUAGGCUAUUCCAAAAGCGGUAAUCCGAAGGCAAAGCAGAUAGCGUGGUUGGCUGUUCAUCUCGACAACAAGAUAUUCUUGAAGAUAUUCACGUACUGUAUAUUAGAAGCAAGCGUCGAGCCUCUCGAAGUUUAGAGUCAUUAAGAAGGAAACGGCUGAGACGUAAUAAGAAGGAACGCGAAGCCAUUAAAAUCAUGUCUAAAUCUUAAAGAAAGACAAAAUAUUCUUCCAGGGCUAAAAAGGAAGUUGAAUCUGAAAUAUUGGUCAAAACAGAGAAGCGACAUAGGUCACAUAGGGAAUUGAAAGAACGUUUAUAGAACGCUGCAUUAAGUACCAGGUGCGAUAUGAAAAGGAAAAAGAAAAAAAACUAAAAAGCUACAGGUAAUUAGUGUUUCAUAUUUAUUUAUGGUAUUUACAUUAAAAACUUUUGUAUUAUUAUUAUAAAAUACAGUCAUACAGGGUUCGAGAUUAGAAUUUCCCCCUAGUAGCAUUAAUAUGGAUACCAGCACUUCAAAAUUGGCAUCCAAACUCAAAAACUGGUAUCCAAAUGUCAUAUCCAUUGAACUGAGAACUUCAAAAGUUACAUACAUAGGACAUUAACAGAUUGAAGUCUUUGAUACUUCCAAAAUUAAUUGCAGUGCAUUUCACAAUCAAUAACAAAUUGCAUAUGUGUUACACUAAAUUCUGGUUGUCAAUUUAUCCUGCAUGGGCAUUAUUUGACCCCGUAAUGGGUUCCAAGUUUAAUGUUGAGCCUAACCCUGCCUAGCCUCCUGUGCAGAUGUUGCUAGUGGCCAGCGUGCCAAGAAUUUGCUGGUAUCCAAAGUUUUGAUAUCUGCCAUCUGGUAUCCCAAAUUGAAAAGUGGUAUUGUCAGGAUACUGCCAAUCUCAAACCCUGCACUCAUGGUGUAUAGGUAGCAAGCCGUCCAAUGGUCUGCAGUUUAUUCAGUCUACUUGAUCUCUACAGUGUUACUGACAAUACAGUGCUGAUUUAAAAAGUAGUACAAGUGUAUUUGCACCGGUACACUCAAAAGUAUAUCAUAUUGUCUCUGAACUUAAAUAUAACCCUAAUUUCAAACAUCUCAAUGCUGCCAUUAAUUAAUACAGAUAAUAAAUAGAGCAUACAGUAUACAAAUAAUGAAUGUUUAUGAGUGCAAUGGUAAGAAUAUUUUCAUGAGGUGAAAGAUGGAAUAUUCCAUUCAGCGAGGCGAUAGCCGAGUUGAAUAGAACAUUCCAUCUUUCACCAAAUGAAAAUAUUCUUACCAUUGCACGAAUAAAAACAUUCAUUAUUUGUUUUAUAUAAUACCAAAAUAGACUAAUAUUAAAAGGUUUACGGUAAGCUCCCGCCAUUUUGACGAGUCGUAUUUGCAUUAAAUGUUGUUGUUUCGAAUAUCGGGUUAAAAUAAACUGCAGCGAUCACCGUACGAGAAGCAUUUUGACGGAUGCGAUUUAUCGAAAACACAAAGAGUGCAAUGGAAUAAAACGUAUAGCAUAAUUGCACUCGCAAGAGUGAAGAGUGCAAUGGAACGUAUUCCAUUGCACUCUUGGGAAAUGGAAUUUUCUAUUCAAUAUCACAUGACCAUAAACAGCCAAUUAAACGAUCAGAAUUCAAUAAGGUAUUAUAUAAUAUAUACUGUACCGUAUUAUAAUAUCUGAAUGUACUGUAAUCCAGCCCAUGACCAUGAUACAGUAUUUCUUUUCAUUUACAGCAUACAAUAUUAUACAUUUGCAUUAUCAGUUCAUUAUAAAUUUCAAACACCAAAUGUUGAUGUAUAACACAACACCCCCCCCCCCCUAUGGCUGUACUGUAUAAAAUGCUUACAAAGGAACAUGAAUGAGCCCAAUGAUGGGUUAGCGGGCAGUUACUUUACUUCAUAAGGCAGCAAGCUGAAGAAGCGCUACUGUACAGUGUAUAUAAGUAUAUAUAACCUCAUACUCUGUACAGUAGUUAUGGGGCAUAUCCCGACACUGGACAAAUGUCACUGGUCACUAUCCAAUAUGCAACCUAAAACCUGCUUUAUUGUGUUUUUGUAUUUUACUGCUUUUACAUACAUGUACAAGUAUGUCGUUGUGCAUUCUGUUUCAUUGUUAGCAAUACCAGUACUACUAUUAAGAGGUAUUCAUGGACCAUGCAAAAAUAUAUAUUUAGGCCUCUGAAUUAUGGUUGGCAAUCAGCAAAUGCCAAACUGAUUGCUGACCUAUAAGUCUUUCACUGACCGUAUAGAAGACCUCAGUCUUUGACGACAACAGUUACCAGGCCGAAGCUCACUCAAAUAAAUGUUUCUUAUCAAUAAUUUACAAUAAUGAUUGGAAUCGAAAUGACAACCUUUGGAAUACUAGCCCAAUGCUCUGCCAACUGAGCUACGCGGUCAGGUCGGUUCGACUAGGUGAUAUUUUGGAACUGAGUCUAGUUUUAUAUCAAUGCAAUCUAGUAAUCAUGAUUUCUUCUGUGUAGGUGUAAUGUACUCAGGUGAAUAUUGAAGGAACUAGACUCUGUUCUGAAAUAUCACAUACUUGAACCGACCUGACCGUGUAGCUCAGUUGACAGAGCAUUGGGCUACUGUAGUAUUCCAAAUGUCGUAGGUUCAAUUCCCACCAUGGCCAGAGGGUCUAGAUGGGGGGGGGGGUCUGAAAAUCAGUAAACGGUAAAAAUUUUCGAAUUUUAACGGUAACAAUAAGUAACAUUUUGGUAUUUUAAUGGUAAAUCUUUGAAAAGUGUUCUGAAACGAUAAACAGUAUUUUUUUCCUCACGAUUCACUCUAAACUUUUAGUGUUUUCACGACUGACUGUAACCGAAAUUGAGUGAAUCACGACUGAUGAUAUACCCCAUCUACACCCUCUGGCCAGGCAUAUUUUUCAAGCUUGCCCGGUGUGGAUAUAUACUCAGAGUAACAUCACACACAUCAUAUUCACCUGAGUACUGUAUAUUACACUUACACAGAAAAAAUCAUAAUGUUGAAUUAUUACUUUCAGAGUUGCCAAAAGCAUUGAACUGUGGCUGUGAAGACAUUUCAAGACCAUGUCAAACUUGAUCUGGUAAAUGGGAAGCAGAUGUUCUGAAUCUAUUUGACCAUCCAGGUAUAUAAUGCAUCAUUUUUCAGGUGAAAUGCCUACAAAAAUAUUUAUAAAUUUAUUUAGAUACUUCAUGACCAUGUACUUGUUUUGAAUAACGUUAUUCUGUCAGCAUGUACAUUAAUUAAGUGGCUGAAGAUAAAAUUGAAGAAGAAUGAUUUAAUUAUCCUGUACAUGUAUUUUACGAGCUGUCAAUAAUAAACAGCUUUCUUCGACAUUUCGAACGACUGCUGAGGGCCCUUUGUCAAGCAGUUACGAAGUUGAUCAAGUGCCAGUUGCUUGAAAUGUUACCACAUACUGUGUAUCAUACAGUAAAUACUGUACUGUAUAUCAUAUAAUCAAGCCAUGUUUACUGUACAUCUCGUCAGGCUCACCUCGCCAACAACAGUCAAUCUCUGAGUUUCCGCUGCCAUGACAACAAACAUACAAACUAUUGUUUAUGUAGCUGCAGCAUAAACAUAGAGAUAUUUUGUUAUAACAUUUUAAGAUACAGGUAUUUCGAUUGUAGGCCAAACAAAUAUGUGGGUUUCCCGACCAUACCUAGCUUUUGGACGCCGAUAUACUGUAUAAUGUUCCAGGAAAUGCUGUCACAAUCCGGGCUAAGGUAUCGCGAUGAUGGAACUAUCACGCCUAGCAGUUUAAACCAACUCGACAAGAAUUUGAGAAGCCAUGACUUCCAUUAUUACCAAUGUAUAUAUCACCAAUGUAUAUACAUUAUCACCAAUGUAUAUUCCAUUAUCACCAAUAUAUAAAUAUCAUUAGGAAAAAAUAUAACAGCCAAAAUAGAAGCGAUUGUACUAUGUGUUUAUUGUCUUCUUUGGCAGGCAGAGGUGUUUUCUAUAUCAUUUAUUAAAUCUUUGAGAACAAGAUCAUUCCAAACUUCUUCGCCACUGUCCUCGUCAGUUGCUGAAUCGUCGUCCACAUGAUCCUCUGAAGAGCUUGGGUUCAUACCAAAAUCAUUUGAAUCGUUCAAAGGAUUAUCGUCAACAGAACAGGCCCCAUCAGAUUCCUGGAAAAGUGAAGGUAUAUUAAGUAAUUGGAAUCCAUCAAUUGCAAGACUGCAAGUUGCGUUUUGCAUUUUGCAUAUUAAUGUUAGCAGGUGAUCUCUGCAAGCUCAAAUAUAUUCGGUAUAAUAAUAUUGUGGACAUAGCUGCAUUGUUAACUAUUAUAUAAUUGUUAACUAUGACAAACAAUAACAGCACUUGUGUAUUUGAACUAAACUUUAUACUGGUGUAUAUUUUUUAUUAUGUAUGUAUG